rnacentral:rRNA from 1 species
UAACACAUGCAAGUCAAGGGGAAAGUAGAUUUCGGAUUUAUAAGUAUACUGGCGGACGGGUGAGUAACGCGUAGGCAACUGCCCUUAUGCAAGGGAUAACCCAUCGAAAGGUGGACUAAUACCUUAUACACAUUGAAUUCGCAUGGGAUUAAUGUCAAAGUUCGCUUUCGGGCGACCCAUAAGGAUGGGCCUGCGUUCCAUUAGUUAGUUGGUGAGGUAAAGGCUCCCAAGGCGACGAUGGAUAGCUGGUUUGAGAGAGUGAUCAGCCACACUGGACUGAGAUACGGCCCAGACUCCUACGGGAGGCAGCAGUGAGGAAUAUUGGCAAUGGGCGAAAGCCUGACGCAGCAACGCCGCGUGGGGGAUGAAUCUCAUGGAGUGUAAACCCCUGUAAGCAGGGACGAAAGGUUUAUAGUCGAAUAGCUAUAGAUUUGACGGUACCUGCAGAGUAAGCUCCGGCUAACUCCGUGCAGCAGCCGCGGUAAU